GUGCAGCCGCCGCGGUAAUACGGAGGGGGUUAGCGUUGUUCGGAAUUACUGGGCGUAAAGCGCGCGUAGGCGGAUUGGAAAGUUGGGGGUGAAAUCCCGAGGCUCAACCUCGGAACUGCCUCCAAAACUCCCAGUCUAGAGUUCGAGAGAGGUGAGUGGAAUUCCAAGUGUAGAGGUGAAGUUCGUAGAUAUUUGGAGGAACACCAGUGGCGAAGGCGGCUCACUGGCUCGAUACUGACGCUGAGGUGCGAAAGCUAGGGUAGCAAAAGGGAUUAGAUA
rnacentral:rRNA from 1 species